GAACCAGAUAAAAGUAAAGCAGCAUCCUUAUACACAAAGGAAAUAAUUUGCCAACAUGAGAUGAGAAAGCCCCUCUUGAUGACCAUGGAUUUGAGGAUGGACAAGGAAGAUCAAGACAGAACUUGUUGCAUUCUACAAACAAAACGGCAUAGAAUGGGCAAGCCCUGUGAAGUGCAGACUCCAAGGGGAUGCUGCCAUUGGUGAGGGAGUAACCAGACAUUUCUUGUCUACUGUUAUACAGAGGCUUCAGCAUGGAUUUAAUUUUAACAUGGGAAAUACUGCAAGGACCUGUCUCUUUGACGGUGAACCAGGUCAUCUUGUUCCAUCAUCAUCACAAUUUCUCGUAGAGAGUGAUCUGUUCCUUGUUGCAGGACGAAUGAUUGGACAUUCUUUCCUACAUGGUGGACCUCGGCUGGCUGGAGUCAGCCAAGCAAUAGUCCAUGUACUACUAGGAGGUUCACCUGAGACUGCUACAGUGCAAAUAGAAGACUGUCCUGACCAUGAUAUUCGUGAUAUUCGUGAACUGGUAUUUACAUUAUACAUACAUACAGUAGCAUAA
rnacentral:lncRNA from 1 species